AAUGAACGCUGGCGGGAUGCCUAACACAUGCAAGUCGAACGAAGGCUUCGGCCUUAGUGGCGCACGGGUGCGUAACGCGUGGGAAUCUGCCCUCAGGUUCGGAAUAACAGCGAGAAAUUGCUGCUAAUACCGGAUGAUAUCGCGAGAUCAAAGAUUUAUCGCCUGAGGAUGAGCCCGCGUAGGAUUAGCUAGUUGGUGUGGUAAAGGCGCACCAAGGCGACGAUCCUUAGCUGGUCUGAGAGGAUGAUCAGCCACACUGGGACUGAGACACGGCCCAGACUCCUACGGGAGGCAGCAGUGGGGAAUAUUGGACAAUGGGCGAAAGCCUGAUCCAGCAAUGCCGCGUGAGUGAUGAAGGCCUUAGGGUUGUAAAGCUCUUUUACCCGGGAUGAUAAUGACAGUACUGGGAGAAUAAGCUCCGGCUAACUCCGUGCCAGCAGCCGCGGUAA
rnacentral:rRNA from 1 species